rnacentral:rRNA from 1 species
AUUGAACGCUGGCGGAAUGCUUCACACAUGCAAGUCGAACGGCAGCACGGGGGCAACCCUGGUGGCGAGUGGCGAACGGGUGAGUAAUACAUCGGAACGUGCCCAGUCGUGGGGGAUAACGUAGCGAAAGCUACGCUAAUACCGCAUACGAACUCGGAUUGAAAGCGGGGGAUCGCAAGACCUCGCGCGAUUGGAGCGGCCGAUGGCAGAUUAGUGAGUUGGUGGGGUAAAGGCCUACCAAGCCGACGAUCUGUAGCUGGUCUGAGAGGACGACCAGCCACACUGGGACUGAGACACGGCCCAGACUCCUACGGGAGGCAGCAGUGGGGAAUUUUGGACAAUGGGCGCAAGCCUGAUCCAGCCAUUCCGCGUGCAGGAUGAAGGCCCUCGGGUUGUAAACUGCUUUUGUACGGAACGAAACGGUCCUGGUUAAUACCUGGGGCUAAUGACGGUACCGUAAGAAUAAGCACCGGCUAACUACGUGCCAGCAGCCGCCGUAAAAC